rnacentral:lncRNA from 1 species
UGUUUUUGUUUUUAUUUGUAAAAUUUGCAUCUUUGUUGUUUAUGAAUUUGAUUUUUCUGGAAUGUUUUCCAAGUUUGGGAAGCUCUGGAUGGUUCUGAGGUCGUGAUACAAUGUUUCUUUUUUGGCUUUAAUGGAGGAAUCUUUGGAAAUAUUCUGUAUUUGGGGUGGAAUUAAGAUGGUGGUAGAAGGUGGGGUGUUGAUUAAAGCUCACUGAGCUGCUUGAUUGCCAAGGGAAGCCUUGAAAAAUGUGGUCAUGGGCAAUGGGUUUCUUGGUUUGUUUUGUUCAGUAAGGUGGCAUCAGGAAGUUUUAGAAGAGUUGGGAGUCUAUUACAAGUCUUAGCAAAAUUUCUGUACUGGGGUGGGAUAGGAAUGGUGAUAAAGAUGGGGUGUUGAUUAGAGCUCUACGAACUGCUCAAUUGCCAAGGGAAACCUCAAAAAAUGUGGUGAUGGGCAAGGGGUUUUUGGGGUUUGCUUUGUUCUGUAAGACGGCAUCUGGAAUUUUAGGAGGCUUGGAGUCUAUUAUAAAUCUUUGGGCAAUGGGUUUUUCGGGUUUGUUUGGUUCAGUAAGAUGGCAUCUGGAAAUUUUAGGAGUUGGAGUCUAUUACAAAUCUUUGGAAAUAUUCUGUGUUGGGGUGGGAUUAGAAUGAUGGAAAAGGUGGGGUGUUGAUUAAAGCUCAGCGAGCUGCUUAACAGUGAAGGCAAACUUAGAAUAAUGUGGAGAUGGGCAAUGGGUUUUUCGAGUUUGUUUUGUUCAGUAAGGUGGCAUCUGGAAAUUUUAGGAGAGUUGGAGUUUGUUAUGAAUUCCUUGCGUGUGGAUUUUAGAACGUUUGUGGCAUUAAUCUUUCUCUCUCUCCAAGAGCUUGGAGCAGAAGCUAUCUAGUUAUUGUUUUUCUCUUUGGUGAUUUGUCCGCAGAAAAUAUCUCGGGCGAUUUGAGAAUUUUCAAAUGAGGAUUAUAUAGGCUAUUGCACUAAAGAUAGAUGGUUAACAGAUCUGUAGAGUUGAAUAUGGCUAAGGGAAAAUUUUUUUGGGGCUUGGGAAGCAAUGGGGUUGAAGAAACUAGUGCCUAUCCACACAAAUAAGAUUGGAUUCUGUUUACUAGUAUUGCUCUGCAUCAACAAGGAAGCACUAGGGAGCUACUUGUAUUAUUUGUGGAGCCAGAUUGCUUUUGCUUUGGGGAGCCAUGCAAUUUCUACAACCUUAGUGCAGCUAUCAUUCUUUUCUCACCCCCCUUGACUUGUGUUCUGUUUAGUUUUCCUCCCAACUUAAAUCAAAUUACUUCUUUCUGCAGGUGCAUUUAUUGGUCUUUGUGGUACAUGAUUGCACCAUCACAGUCAAUUUCCCCAGUUUUCCACAAUUCAUGUUGCAUCUAGCUUCUCGUAGAUCCACUCAUCCUUUUCUUCCAUGAUUGAUGUUUGCAUCACCACUUUAGCUUUUCUAGUUUUUUGGACUUAUUAUGUUGAUUUCGAUCAUUCAGAAGCAUAAAACAGAGCUGGUCUUAUGAUUGUCUCAGUAAAGAACUUUUCGUCAUAUCUGUCCCUCUCCCUUUAUGGCUUUAAAUAGUUCUAACUCAGAAUUGAAUUGACCCUUAAUCUAGUUUCAUUUGCCAAAGUAGAUCUCCAGCAAAUAUUCUUCAUGGGAUCUAUCUUGAACCAUGUGGGAAUUAAUGUUAUUUAUUCUUUUGAAUAUGCUAAUUACUAGAAAUUUGUAGCUUAGGUGAAUAGUAAUAGAGUCCACACUUGGUUUAUUUGUUGCUCUAUCCUUCAAAACAUUACGAUUACUUAGAUGAGGUCAAAACAGUUUUGCUGGACUAGGAUACUGACUUGUCUUAUAUUUUGUUAAUUGAAUUACUACAUGGGUAUUAAGUGUUUUAAUGAUUCCUUGUUAGUGUUACCUGAUGAAAUGGUCCUCAUUGCUUAGCUGGUGGCCGGUUUUACAGGUCCUGUACCAGAGAAGACUGUUUGCUAUACAUUUAGUAUACUCGUCAGUUCAUGGUUGGAGCCUUUUGCCUCCGAAUUCCUGGAUUAAUUUCUCUCUGACAUUGAAUUGAACAGAAUUCCCGGUUGAUGGGUUUCUGUUUCUGAAAUUGGUGGAUAUAGCGGGGACAAAUAUUCUUUUGUAGGAAGAAGUGUUAUGGCAUUUCUUUUCUCAUUCUUUGUUAUUGAAAUAUGACUCCUGCAUAGAUAUGGAGAUUGUUUUGUGUUUCUUGCUGGAUUUUUGACUUUAUCAAAACUUAAAUCUUGAUUACAUUUGGAUACUUUGUCAUUGACCUGUAACUUAAUUGAAACUCCGCCACCUAUAUCUUAUUAUAGUUAUCAAAUUGAAAGUUUUCUGCAGAACUGUAGCAAAUUGCAGCCUUCAGUUUGGCAGGUGGAUGAAUGGUUUUUCUCCCUUCUGAGACCAUGAAUCACCAUAGUGUUCUAUCUGCAAAACAAACAGAGUCUACUAAAGGUUUUACUCAGUCUUACUGUGCUGCAGUAUCCCCAAUUCAUAACUUACUGAAUGUCGAGUUAGAAGGUCAAAAUUCAUUCAAGAGUGAUUGUUCAUCUUCACAUUCACGUUUUACUCAAACAGAAUUACCUGGUCCCGCCAAUUUCAUGCAAGCAUCUGUAGUUCAGCCCCAGAAGCUUUGCUCAAAAUCUGGACCAUAUAGCUCUGUGUCUUCUGAUACUGAUGCUCAAUAUCCCAAAUGCACAUUUUCUCGUUCUUCUGUGUUUUGUACCAGCUUAUACCUGUCAUCUUCAUCAAGCACUGAAACCCAUCGACCACUUGGAAAUCUUCCAUUUCUUCCUCAUCCAUCAAUGUCCUACCAGUCCAUUUCUGCUGUUCAUUCAACAAAAACUCCAUUUUUGAGUGGGGAUUCAAGCGGUUUAUAUGAUGAGGGGAAUUCAGAGGAUAUGAUGAAAGGCUUUCUCAAUUUGUCCAGUGAUGCUUCAGAUGAGAGUUUUCAUGUUAUGAAUUGUGCAAGUGACAAUAUAACAUUUUCAGAGCAAUUGGAGUUGCAGUUUUUGUCUGAUGAACUUGAUAUAGCUAUAGCUGACAACGGAGAAAAUCCCAGACUUGAUGUAAGUGCAUUUUAUUUGGGAAUAUUUUUUGGUUUUCUAAUGAUAUAUUUUCAACUCUGAUUAAACAUGCAAAGUAUAAGAAUGGCACCAUAAUGCCACCACUACCCUAAGUCAACCUGAUUGUUUAGACAUGUGAUUGCCUUUUUCUUUUGGAAUCACCAUUUGGUGAUAAUCUAGAAGGAUGGAUUGAAUGAGAUGUUUAGAGGUUUUUUGUUUGGGUUAAAUUUAAAAUAGAAGAUCUCAAGGAGGGUGCAGUUAAAUGCUGUUGGGACCUGCCUCAGGUGGCAAGGGGACGGUGGUGGGAGUUGAGAGUUUCCAAGUUCUAUUUCAUGAACCCAAAAGGGAAAGAAAACAUCACCUGUCAAAACAAAAAAAGGAGGGGACAAUUAAAUAAAGUAGAAAAUUUCGAGGGACUAAUAAACAUACAAAGGUUUAUUUUGCUUAUGUACCGUAUAUUCUGUGUGCCACUCUAACUGUUGCAUAAUCUUCUGCUGAUUAGUUCCUUGCUUUUUUUGUUGUUGAUGUUCAUUUUGUUCAGGAAAUAUAUGAAAUGCCUCAAGAUUCAUCAACACCAGCCAUGGCAUUAGGACUGACAGUCAAUCAAAAUCAUCAAUCUGUUGCACCAUCUACUGAUGCUUCAUCAGGUCAACCCUCUCCAGGGGCUGCUGCUGCACACAAGCCAAGAAUGAGAUGGACCCCUGAGCUCCAUGAGCGUUUUUUAGAGGCUGUCAAUAAGCUUGAGGGGGCUGAAAGUGAGUCCAAUAUUUUUUCUGUUAGGCAAGUGGGGCUUAGUGUUUACUUCAUUGCGGGAAGAUGAGUGUAUGACUAAUUCUGUAGUUUCAAUUGCAAUAACAGUAAUCAAGUUGGAUAUGAAUAAUUCAUGAGUUUAUAACAUUUUUUUUCCUGUUUUACGAGGCUUACCUAUUUUGCUUUGGAAUGUAGAGGCAACACCAAAGGGAGUAUUAAAGCUUAUGAAUAUUGAAGGUUUGACCAUUUAUCAUGUGAAAAGCCACUUACAGGUAUCAUUCUGAAUUUAUUUAGUGGGUUACAUUAAAAUCAAAUCCAGUCUUACUCAGUUUGAGUUUACAGUGUUAUAUGUCAUUUUUUUUUGUUUUGCAGAAAUACCGGCUUGCUAAGUAUAUGCCAGAGCGAAAGGAAGGUAAUUAAUGCAUUAGGAAGGAGUCAUAUUGCCAUCAUCAAUCUUCAGAAAAGGAAAAUUCACUAUUAUUAUUGAUAUUAACAUUCGACCAUUUUUGCUUUUCUAACACAUUUUUUCUUAGCCUUGCCUUCCUGAGAGACCUUAAUUAUCUUCAUGCUCUUGUUGCCACUGGUGUUUCAUUUUGCAUGUUGAGGUCAUCUAAACAAACAGUCCAUUAUCUACUAGCAUGCUUGAAAAACCAUUAGAUCUUUGUAAUAGCUGCUCUAACCUUAUGAGUGUUUUUCAUAGUUUUUUAAUUUUCUAAUUCGCAAGUUUAUUGAGAACUGUAUGAUGCUCUUUUACAUGUAAUGUAUGAGCCCUACUGUUAGAUUUCUUAUAAUUCAGUCAAUUAGCAUUCUCUUUGCUUGCCUCAUCAGUCAUUCGUGUUUACAUAUUCAUGAUGGUUACCCAUUUUAUGAACAUUAUGGUAGCUGGUUUCAUUAUAAACUCACAUUCUGAUGUUUAAAAGAAGUGUUUGGUAGCAGUAUCAUACACCUAAAAUUGCUGCUUUCUUGAAUUAUCAUGGGCUGAACAACAUUACAGUGGGACAUUUUCCUUUGUGCCCAAUGUUUAUAUUGCAUUUAACAUAUAACAAGAAUAGGCACAGGUUUUAGAAUUCUUUGGAGCUUAGAAUACGUUCAAGUGCCCAUAGGAAAACAAGUUUGUGCAUAGAGUUGUUAAAGGUGAUUUCUUUGUUCCCCUUUUAUGUUUUCUCCUCGGUUUAUGCCUUAUCCAUGGUGCUGCGAGGCAAGACUUACAAAGCAGAGGGUGGAAUCUUCUUGAGUAUUGGUUGGGUGGAAAUGCCUGCCUAUUGAGAAAUAUGAGUUAUAGGACUGCGUGGUUUAAUUAUUUAGGGGUUAGAGUCUCUCUCUCUCUCUCUCUUGUUGUUUGUCCUGGUGAAGCGUAUAUUUAUCUAUUUUUGACACAAAAAAAACCAUUUCAUUGUGUUGAAGUAGUAAAUACAAAGAAUGACGAGAAAUCCUUUGAACAUGUCCACAAUCCUUGGAAUAUGUUUAUCAAAGAGGGCAACUUAAUGAGACCUGCCAUUUUUGGGAAAUGUAGUCAGGUCUAGUCAUGCAUCAUGGUUGUCGAUAUGGGCAUUUGUGUCACUAUAGGAUUUGCUCUAGCAGCAUGUAGUUGAUCUUGGCACAAAGAUGUUUAGAUCAAGAACUGUGAUACUCCUCAGGGCGUGAUCUUGACUGUUACUAAUUGAAAGCUUUCUACCUUCCUGGGGAAAAAAGAGUCUGAAUAUGUGUAAUCAAUGGUAACAGUGUUUCCAUCAUAGUGUUCUUUGCAUCUCAUAGUCCAACUAUUAUUUUCCAUUGUAAAAGAAAAAUUUUGUGCUCAUACUAUAAAAAUACUUGAAACUCUGGCUUAAAUUUUUCUAUGUUUUUCAAUUUUACUGUUUCUUUUAGGCAUUUUGGAAGUGACAUUUUUUAUUUUUCAACUAGAAUGGCCUGGUGUCUCUUUCAAUUGAUUAUAUUUACUAAAAUAUUUCUGAAUCCCUGUAAAUGUUUGCUUUUAUGUUUUAAGACAAGAAGGCUUCUGGAUCCGAAGAAAAGAAAGCUGCUUCAAGUAACAAUGAAAGUGAUGGAAGGAGAAAAGGGUUCGAGACCAUCUUUCACUCUUUUUCUUUCUUCUCUAUUGUUAUCUUUUUUGUCAUAAAAUAAAUGAAACAUUAUUAUUGUCAUUUAUUUGUUUUUUGUUUAUCUUACUUGAUGUAGGAACAUUCAAAUCACUGAGGCUUUGCGCCUGCAAAUGGAAGUUCAAAAACAGCUUCACGAACAGCUUGAGGUAUGUUCUAUGGUCACUUCGACUGUUGAUGUACUGAACUUUGACUGUAUCUACAAAGGAAUUUUACCCCAAAAGUGAAAAACAAAGAAGGAAUUCUUAAAAAUUAAAGGGCAAAUAUUUUUCCUCUUAACAAGCUUUUUGAGAAAGAACUAAAGAGUUUUGCAGCAUUGUUGUCUUGAUUUCCAACGAAACUCAAGCAGUUUUACUAUUGAUGCUGAUGAAACUGCAAAGUUCUAGGAGAAUACAUGAAUUAAAAGCUGCAGAGUUUUGGAACCUUUUUUCUCUGCUUGUGGUUGUUUCUCCCAAAAAGGUACGAGGAGAGGAGAUUCCUAUCCAUGAUUUCAGACAAGUUGAUUCUGAAAAUAUCUCUUUGAAGAGAAGUGAUUUUAACCUUCUUUAUAUUAUGUGUUUGGUUGAAUACCCUUCUCGUCUGCCCAGUCACGUGUUUUAUUUUUAAAUUUUUUCUUAUUUUUCUCCAUUCUCUAUCUGGUAUGGAUCACUUCUUCAUCCUUGACCAAGUUAAAUCAGUUUGGCUGUGGUCAUUGAUGUUCUCUCAUUGAUUUUACUUCCAUUUUUACGACCCUUUUUAGUGUCUUUCCUAUUCUAAUACCACUCUUUUUCUUCUGAGAAGAACAAGAAACCGAACUUGAUUGAUUCUUCAUAGCUGGCUGUCUGCAGCAUACUUUGUCAUUGAUUUAAUUCGUUCUUCCUUUGGCACAGGUGCAAAGGACUCUUCAGUUACGCAUAGAGGAGCAUGCAAGGUACUUGCAUAAGAUCUUGGAAGAACAACAGAAGGCUGGCAGUGCCUUGAUCUCUCCUCCAAGCUUGUCAUCACCGACUAGCCCUCACCCAGAUUCUGAAAGGCAGCCUUCUUCUCCAUCAGCUACCACCACUCUCCCCCAACCAGCAGAGUGCAAAGCUGAUUCCUCAUCACCUCCACCAUCAAAGCACAAAGCUGCUACUGAAACUACCGACUCUGAGCAGCAAGCAUGCUCGAAGAGAUCCCGUCUUGAAUCCAACCCAGAACCAGUUUCAGAUGAGGCUGUGGUUGAAAAUCCCAGCCAGUGAUCUGAAACUCUAUUUUUCUUAGCAUUUGUAGGUAUUCCAAGCUCUUGUAAAUAAAGCCAAAACCCCAUGUAAAUUAGUAGGUAGAAGUAGAACUGAGUAUUUGCUUGGUCUGUAUGAUUGAAAUUAGCUACUUGGGUGAAAGAGAGUGGCUCUCUUAUUGGAUGAAUUUGUUGAAUGGAAGCUUAUUUUGUUCAGAUUGUUGAAUUUUUGGCUGAGUUUGUGAAUUAUUUAGAUUUGGAAUGAGUUUCUAUGAUUUCUUCAUUUUUUUCCCAAUAAAAAUUUUCAAAUUUUUUUCCAUCCAGAUAUGUGGAAAAUUCUAUAGCAGUGAAGAAGUUACACAUCAAAGUUUCUGUUCAUAAUGCUCAUGUCUUUAUGUGCAUGUAUAUACAUCUAAUAUUGAUAAUAUAUACACUAAAUUGUGUUUUUUAUUAAUAGAAUAUGCAUUAAUAUUAAUAUCAUGAAAUAUGGUUUUUUUUUUACUAUAUAUAUAAUUAUUUAUUUUAUUUUACUACUUAUUAAUAGAAUUUUUUUUUGUAUUCCAUUUAUUGCUAUGUUUAAAUUCUAUAUUAUAUUUAUGGAGAAGGAUGAACAAAUAUUGGUGGAAUUUCAAUACCCCUAUAGAAUGUUUGGUUUCAGAAAAACUUGAAGAAAAAUAUAAGGGAAAUAAAAUAUAAAGAAAAAGUAUAAAAAUAAAUAAAUAAAUAAAUUUGAAGUUCAUAAAUUAUUAUUGUUAUUAUUAUUUUUAUGAGGAAGGAACCUUUUAUGAACAAACCCACACUCUAUAAGACUUCUUGUAACAAUCAACACAGAGUAAAUUCAAAGUAUCCAUAAAUUAUUUUUUAUUUACUUCUUCAAAUUAUUUUAUUUAUUUUAAGUUUUAACUCAUUAAAAUAAAGAUUAAAUAAUUUAAAAAUGUAUAAGUUUUUAAUUAAUUUUAAUUUCUUUGAUUUUUUUCAUAAGACAACAAAAUAUGAGAAAAAAUAUUUUAUUUAAUAUUUUUUUUUCUUUCCUUAUAUUUUUUUUAGAAUCAAACAAAAUCAUAAUGUAUGUACAGAGAAAAAUGGUCAAAUAUUAAAAAAAACUUACAAAUAUUUGAGCCAGUAAAGAAGGAUUUUUGAAUUUAAAAAUUAUAUUUUUGUUUCAAUGGAAAUUUGAAAUUACCUAUUUUAUAAUAAAGAUAACAUAAUAGGUAAAUUAGCAUUAAAAGUAAAAAAAAAUAUUUAUGGAGGAGAUAAAAAUCUCUAUUUCAUUUAUCAUUAUUAAUUAAUUAAUCAAUAAAAAAAUGAAGUAUAAUUAAUUUAAUUUUACAAAAAUGGGAAAGAUUGAGGAGAGAGAAUCUCUGAAUCUCUAAAAUUUGUUAAUAAAAAAUUAAUUAUUUUUAUUUCUCUUUUUAUUUAUUUUGUCCUCUCAACUCUCAAGCAGUCCAUUAAAAAACCGAUUGCAUUUACUCUGCUGAAUUGGAUUUGGGUAAACAAAUUUGGAAAAGGCUGUCUUGGAUAAAAUUGCCGAUUCUUUUUUCCCUUAAAAAGAGGAUGGUGAGUAGGACUGUAGGAGGGAAAUUCAGGGUUGAAAAAGUAUAAAAUCCAUUGAAGGAGUUGGGAAAAAAUGCAGCGAGUGAAGAGAAUAUCUCAGAAAAAGAGUGAUGGGUUGUGGAAGAUGAUGGGUUUUGGGUUUUUUUUUUGGUACAUUGGCAUAGCCAAAACCAGUGGCUGAGCAGGUUGUUUUGGCACUCUGUGUGACCAAAUCUUCGGUUACAGGAGCAUUGAAUGGUUUUAGAAGUGGGUUAUCAGAUUUCACAAAGUGGGUAGGUCUCUUUUUCUUUCCUUUUCUCUAUUUUUCUCUCUUUCUCUCUCUUUUCUCUAUCUCUGAAGCAUGCAAACAGACACUUGUACAAAGCCCACAGAAAACACCAGUAGGGGUUGUUGAGAAAACUCCUCCACCCUAGUUUAUAACGCCUUCUCCUUUUCUUCUUCUCCUUCUCUGUUUCGUUCAGCCUCUGCCGCCGUUCUGUUCUAUUCUUGUUUACCUUGUUUGCAUUUUCAUUCCUCAGGUUAUUUAUUUAUUUUAUAAUUUUCAUCGUGAUUUUUUUUUUUUGGGCUUGUUGGUCCGUGUAUGAUUUGUAUGUAUAGUAGAUUGAUCCCAUUUGAUUUUUUUUUUCUUUAGUAAUUUUUUUUGUAGUGCCUUUUGCUUCUUGUUUCAUCUAUUCGAUCUGUUUUAAUGUCUGUGUUCUGUGGACUCUCUAUGGAUUGAAAAUCUGGAAGAGGGUUCUUCCUGGUAUUGUUUAAAAUGGACAAAUAGUUGAUUUUUCCGAUUCCUGUCAUUUUAGGGAUUUGGGGGAAAAUGGGCAGAAAGGAAAAGACAAUGUUGAGAAGAGAUUAAGGAAUAAUUUCAAUUUUCUUUAAAUUUUUUGUUGUUUUACUUUCUACUUUUCUCUCUUUGAUCCAAAUGGAGCCUUAGAUUUGUGGUUCUUCGCCAGUAUUGCAGUGGGGAUGGUGGUGCCAACAUGAAGUAUUUUGUUUGUGAAUCAAAAAAGGGGAAAUGAACAAUGAUGUGAGACUUUUUAUUUGAAAUGGAUUCUCUGAGGCGACUGACUUCCAUCAGCCAGCCUUAAUCAUUAAAUAGCAUAUUGGGAUUAAAUUCUCAGAUUACCCUCUAUAACAAGCAAUUUUUUUUUUUUUUUUUUUUUUAAAGUGGAUUAGAACACAUAUUGUUGGCGCUCUUCAAUGUUUUUGAUUUUCAUCAUCGAACUUGAUACUUUUGGUUUUGUUUAGCUCUUCUUUGGGUUAAUAAUUUUGUUUAAACCUGGGAAAAUAAUGUAUUUCCUUAUUAUUCUGUUUCAAGAACUAUAGUCGAUUUAGCUUAUUAGUAAUAUUUGUCUUUUGCUUUUUUAUUCUUUUGAAGAAACUUCUAAAAUUCAUUGCAAUGGUUUUGCAGGCCAAGCUUGGUGGAAUAAUUGAUUCCAGAGUGUGUUCAUUUAGGACUCUUGACUGGUUCGCCUACAAGACAUAUAAUCUACAUUAGGAGUUAUGACUGACCUGUUUAGGAUUUUUUAAUCAAGGAAAAUGGCUGCAACUAUUGUGGUGAAGUGGUGAGUGGCUUUAUCAGGGGGGUAUAUCACAUUGUGGAUCAGUUCCUGCUAUGUUAAGGAACUAAUGAAAGAAAAGGUACUUGAGCUGAAAAGAGGGAAUCUCGGCAAGGAAGUCGAGAAAUUAAACCAACUCGAUCUUCCCUCAAAGAGGAAGUCUUCCCUUAUAUCAAAGAAUGUCAAGCAAAGAAAAGUUGGAAGUAUUCCGAAUGCUGGUUUAGAUGGUGGAAAGCAUGCAAACAAAGACCCUGUAAUGAAAUGGUUUCAUUUUCAGUUUUAAGUAUGGGUUCAAAAAGAUCUAGCUGUGACAGGGAGGGAGAAGAUAUACUGGUAAGCCAAGCUAAGAAACGCGUUGGCAGAUUUUUGUAUGAAAUGGGCACUGAUUUUAGUGCUGCAACCCCUACAAGCCCUUGUGGAAAGAUUAAUGGUAUCCACAGUUGUCAUCAGGUCGAGUAUGAGUUUCUUAGCCAUCAGGAGUUGAAAGGUUGGAUCGUUUGGGAUGAGGUGAAAGAGAUGCUAGAUCAUGUGCAUGAGAUUAUAGAUACAUGCGCAACCACAGGGUGUAGCAUUGUAGUAGAUGGGUGGAAGGAUGAGAAGGGAAGAAACUUGAUGAACCUCCUUGUUGAUUGCCCUCGGGGUCCAAUUUGUUUUAGAUUAUGUGACAUUUCUACCUUGUCUGAUGAUGUGGAUGCCUUGGUGGUGUUGUUUGAACAAGUUAUUGCAGAGGUCAGGGUUGAAAAUGUUGUGCAAAUCGUCUCCCAUUCUGUGUCAGAAUGUAUGGCAGCUGUGGGCAAUAGUUUGAUGGGCAAGUACCCAACAUUGUUUUGGACAGUUUGUGCAUCUCAUUGCAUAGAGAUGAUAUUGGAGAAGAUUGGGAUGAUGGGCACCACUAGGGAGAUAUUGGAUAAAGCGAAGACCAUUACAAGGUUCAUACACAGCCAUGCAAUGGUUCUAACCUUAUGAGGAAUCAUACACUUGUCCAUGACCUUGUGAAACCCUCGAAGAGCAAGCCAGCAAUCCCAUUUUUGACUUUACAAAAUAUAGUUUCAGAAAAAUGUGGCUGGAGAAGAUGCUUAUCUCAUCUGAGUGGAAGACCUCUUACUGGGCUUCCAGGAGAGAUGGGAAGGGGGUAGCUGAUAUAGUGGUGGAUCCCUCUUUCUGGAAUGGAGCUGAGACGGUUCUAAAGCCAACUGUUCUUCUGGUGGGCGUGCUAUGCUCGAUCAUUAGGGGUGAUAAGGGACAAAUGUGUUACAUAUAUGAAACAAUGGAUGCAGUGAAGGAAGAUAUUGCAGUGGAAUUUGAAAAUAACGAAUCUCAAUGCAUGCGCUUCUGUUUCUGUAGUGGGUGUUAAAGUACAAACAUGCUACUGACCAUAUCUCAUUUUGGAUCCGCCCAUUGGGUACGAUACACUCAAUACAACAGUUAAUUUUUCUAUCAAAAUUAACUUCUAUAUUGAGCUUAUGGUACCCAAUGGGCGGAUCCAAAAUGAGAUAUGGUCACAACUUGACCAUUAUUUUGAUUUUGGGAUGGGGAGAGCCAUUGACAGAAGAAAUGAUAUUCAUCCAGGUUAGAGAAAUAUAAUCCCUUUGAUUGUCCAGUUCUGCGCAUCGGAAAUGGAACUAUUAGAUGAGUUGCUAUUUACAUGUAUGGGAAGUUUUGAAUUAAUUCCAUAAUUUUUAUAAAUAUUAUCUUGUAUAGCUAUCAUACAAGUGUAAUAGCCAUGUUCUAAAAAUAUGGUUGUUAUUGGAAUAGGAUAGUUGUGUUUCCUUAUUUGAAUGUGAUUUAGUCAAUUAUUGUAUAUGAUUUAAGGCCUUGUAAUAAUUCAGAAAAAUAAAAGAUCAUUUUCCUCCUUUUUCUUCAUGGUAUCAGUGCCAAUUGAUGCCAGACAUGUUUUCAGAGAAAAGCUUCUUUGAGUCUGGCCUUCAUCAUCAUUGAUAUCUUCCUCCUCCAUCUUUAUUUUCAGAAUCUUUCACUGAUAUUCUCCUUAAGAACUCUAAUAUCCCAGCCUUAGUUGUUAUCAUCUCGGCUUGUUCUGUCUUUUUCUUUCUCAGAUUCAAUUCCUGUCCUAAUUACCUAGAAUAUUAGAAAUAUUAAAACUAUUACUGUUGCUAAUUCUAUAUAGAACCUGGGUUCAAUUUUCUAACGAAAACCCUACCUUCUAAAUCACUACCACAAAAUUGAAUUGCUUAAACUUCAUGGAUGGGUUUUAAUGACCUAAGCUAUUCCCAAAAACCAAUGGAAAAAUGAAAUACAUGUUAGGCACUAUGUCAGGAUCCUAAGUUUUAAGUAUGGGGGCUAUAAAAUUCAAUGGUGAUGUCCUGGUUAAUUCACUCAAUGCUCCCAUGAAUCAGUAAGACCUAUAUCUUACUGGCCUCUGCCAAGGACAUUUGGAAGGUAGUCACUCAAACAUAUUUGAAGAGUAUGAACUGAAGUGACAGAUCAUCUUUACGAAGAAAGGAUACAAGACUUUCUCCAAGUAUUCCAAUAGUCUUAAAGGGCUUUGUGUUGGAAUUGGAGAUGGGACUAGCAGUUGAUAGGAAGAAAGUGAAAAAUAUGAUAGAGAGGGAACAAAUUUUUGACUCCUGGUUAGCGUCAAUCCAAAGUAUGAUAAAGUAAAUAUAUUUUUUAAAAUAAAUAUAUGUUAAAUAUGUUAUUUUUAAAAAAAUGAGAUUUUUUAAAGAACCUUGUAAAAAAAAUAAUUUUCAAUAUCUCAUAAAUAAAAACCAUAUCCUAAGAUUAUUAUAUUGUUUUAUAUAUGGAACAUAUAAUUAAAAACUUUGUUACCAUAAUAGAAUGAAUAAUACAAUUUAUUCCCAUAAGUGGAGAAUAUCAAGUAGGUAACCUUCAAGCUGACCCAGUUAGUGUGGAAUUGUAUCUGGUUAGUUGGUGGUAAAGCAAACCUCGGGUGAUAUGGACUCAUCCUUUUACAAAGGAUCUAUCCCUUUUAUCUUAUAGAAGGGAUAAUGUUGGGAAGCAUUUAUUGGUUAGUUUUUCACAAACCCAUACAUGAAGAGAUCCAAUGAGUAAGAAGUGAUGAAUGACAUAUUUUUUUUCUUACUCUUUUUACUGUGUUUAGCGCCCAUCAUGUCUCCAAAUUUUUGUUGCGAUCUCAGUCCAACUGCCAAACUGAUUCGAUACAUAUUGAAAAACACGACCAAUCAAAUCACAUUGGGUCUAUAUAUAGAUUUUAAUGUGUCAAAAUAAAUAUGAUUAAUAUUUUAAUUAUUAAAUAUUAUUCAUGUAUUGUGUUGACUUGUCAUAAAAUUAAAUAAUAUUAUUUUUUUUUAAACAAGAUAUUAAGUAAAUUAGCAAUUGAAAAUAUGAAAAUAAAAAUAAAUAUAGUAUAUUUAUAAAGUUUAUUUAAAAGUGAAAUAUUUAAAAAUGAUAUAUUCAUAAAAAUGACUCUACUAGACCUUCAAAUUUUAAUUAUUAUAUUCAUAUAUUCAUUUAAAUAUCCAAAUGUAUACAUAUUUUAUAAAUUUAGUAAUGAUAUUAUCAAAUUCACAAAAGUUAAAAACUUAACAUUAAGCCCCUGAAAAAUCCAAAAGCGAGUUUAGGAUAGUAAAAGAUAUUACAAUUAUAUAGUUACUUUUUAUUUUUAAUAAGUAAUAAUAAGUCUUUGAUGUAGAUGACAUAAAUUAUAUUAUAAGUAGUGUUAAUUUAAUAAUAAUUGACCUGAAAGACCUAAAACCCUCAAACAAACCCUUUCUUUUGCUACUCGACGACCCAACUGUGGCUUCAAGCUAUCCGACACUGUAAUGAGCAUCUUCAAGCUAAAAACCUAUUAAGACCUGAAAGCAUUUUAUUACCAACCAAAAAAGGGGAAAAAAAAAGUGAACUGAUUCAUCGGAGAAAUCAAGGUUGGACCAUUCAAGUGCGUUGUAGAUCCAAAUCUAGAACAAGAUGCUACAAAAUUGAGCCUUGUUUUUCCAUGCAGGUUACCCUAUAUGAUGCUUAAGCUAACAAGGGCGAAGCUGAAACCAACCCUCAAAACAUUAAUCAUCACAAUAUACAACUGUAGGCCCUAUGUGAGACACCAAGCUCACAUGUAUGUCUUGAGUUAGGAUGCGUUGGAAAGCAACUUUAAGGAAGGAUAUAAAAUUCAUUCUCCCAAAGUCCCAAUAGAAAAUGGACAAAAAAACAGACUAGAAUAAAUGCCAGAUAUUAGAAUCACGGAUCUGUCAUUUUUCCAAAAAAAAAUUCAUUUUCCCUAAAAACUUCAACAAACGUCUGCAUCUUAAAAGACUUCAAUCUUUGGAUGAUAACAAACCAUUUAUGCUAAAAUAGCCGUGAAGGAUGUAAAAAAAAAAAAAAAAAAACCAAAAACAAUGGGAUUUUUUUUUCCUGAAAACCGAGAUUCUGAGAUGGGAAAAAAAAAGGGAAAGUGCCAAAAACUUUACAUAAAACAAGCCAAAAAGAAUAUUGGGACCAACGUCAACCUUGAUGCUUUGUAGCUCCAACAAUGUCUCUCUCAUAGUAGCCCACUGAUGGAGCUUGGGUUUUGAAGAAAAAAAUUACACAGAGAACAGAGCAUAGGAUGGGAAACUGGGAAAGUAAACAAAAAUAGUCUUAAAAAAUGGGUUUUAUGCUUAUGUGGAUUGAUGGGGGCUAUUUUGAACAUUAGUUUUGGAAGAAGCCCACUUUUAAUAUUGAGUUUCAAAAGAAGCCCAUUUUGGCCCAAAACUCUUUUUCUAAAGGUUGUUGUUCAAAUACCGGGAUCAUUAAUUCAAGUGCAUAAGAGCUUGUGUAGUUUUUCCACAUUGUUUUCUACAUAUUCAACUUGUUUUGGAAAGUGAAUAAUUAAGGUUGUUGAUGGGCCAUUUUCUUCCAUAGCAGGUCAAGGAAUAGUUCAAUUGAACCCUACUUUGGUCUCAAAAUCUAUUUGGCAUGUCCCCAAUCUGUCAUAUAAUCUUCAAUCUAUAGGAAAUCACCUACAUUGUUCUAUGUUAUUCACCUCUUUUGGUCGUAUUUUUCAGGACUUUGUUAUGGAGAUGAUGAUUGAGCAAUGCUGAAUUGAAAGUACCAUUUGAAUACCGGUUUCAAUACUAAUGCCUUGAGGCUUCAAAGCUCGGUUUCUGCGUUGUCUCCUAAAGUGGUCCAAAUUCGGCUGUGGCAUAGACAUUUAUGACAUAUGUCUUUCCUUUUGUUUAAAAAUUGUUCCUGUCCUUGUUUAAGAUCAUCAUUGUUAGUAACUUUACGUGUGAAACUUGUGUACUUGCCAAAGGCAUUGCGUUUCAUUUCCAAUAAAUACUCCUAAAGUUUUUUCUCUAACUUUGAUGCUUGAGUUCCUUCUCGCUUACAAAUAUUUUUGGUAUUCGAUGGUUUGUUACUUUUAUAUAUGAGUGCACUUGUUCAACUUGAGCUUAUAUGAUGAAAUCCAAAUAUGAACUUUCAUUAAUUUUUCCUAUCUUUCACAAUCUUAGCUGCACUCAAUUUGGGGCUAAAAUAUACAUGCUCAUAUUUGAUAAUGGAAAAGAAGAUUUUAAUCAAAAUAUAAGCAUUUCUCUUUUUAAAAUGAGGAUACUACUCAUCCUCAUCUUAUAUGUCUAGUCCUUACCAAAAUGGGUAGCUGGAAAAAAAUGAGAUGGGUCAAAAGGUGGUCAAUCGAUUCUCUAUCUCUUUUGCAUAAAAUGCACCAAUGAGGACUAAAAGAUUUAUAGGGUCUUCUCAAUAGUACCAAUUGUAGCAUGUUAUUGGUGUUGACCUUCUCAAUUGUAGCAACAUAGAGAUUUGUAAGGUUGAUAUAUAGACCUGAUAAAAAAGACCUGAAGAAACCUCCACUAUACAAGGAGGGUUAUACAAAAGGACCAAAAAGGCUUAUACAAGUAUAACAUCUCUUAACCUUGUAGGCUAAACCCUAGGGUGUACAUAUCAAAAGCCAAUUAAGUUGAAUUACACUCAAAGAAUAGAGUUUUAAAAAGUUUGUACAGUAAGCCUAAAAAGAAACAUAGAAAUGAAGCAAAUCCCAUAUCAUCUCUGACAUCUUCCAAGUGUCCUAAAAAUUUUAGUGGUCCUUCCCCUCCAUAUAAUCUACAACAAAGAGAGACAUGUGAUCCUCCAGAGGGUCUUGCCUUUAAUGGAGUUCCUAAAGCACUUGAAAGAAAUCACCAUCAUAUUGCGAAUACUACCUGGUUAAACCCACUCCAUCCCGACUUGUGAGAAUAUCCUAUGCUACAAUCCCAAAUUAAUCGGACGAUAUAAGAAAAGAUGGUCAAUCAUAUCUCUACUCCUCCUACAUAGGAUGCACUAAUCAGGGCUAAGGGCUUUGAAAGGUCUUCUCAAUUGUAGCAUGUCAUUGGUAUUUACCUUCUUAUGUGCCACUAACUACGUAAAGACCAUGAUCUUAGAGAAGACUCUUGAUUUUCCUUGUAGCAUCUCUAUCUUUCUCUCCCUUUAUCCAUAGCUUUUAUUUGCCUUGCCUUCCUGACCCUUAAUGCUGUUUCUAUUCUUGUGGCCACUGGUGUUUUGGUUUGAAUGUUGAAAUCAUCUAAAACUAUGUUCCAUAUCUAAUAAUACAUUGGGAGUACCAUUGAAUCUUUGUAAUGGCUACUCCAACUUAGUCAAUGUUCUUCAUAAUUUUAAUGCAGUCAAUUAAAAAUAUAAGCUUUCAUUGUUGGAUUUAUUUUAAUGCAAUCAAGUUCUGAUGCUCAAAAGAAAAACACUUGGUAGCAAUGUCAUAAAUCUAAAUUGCACAAGAAUAUGUAUGCAUUUUAGAAUUCCUUGGAGCAUGUAAAAACAUUCAAGUGCCACGGGAAAACAAGUUUCUGUAUUGAGUGGUUAAAGAUGAUUUAUUUGUUCCCUUCAAAAACAAACUACAUCUAGCAUGCUCACUUAGUAAGGAGUGUGCUCACCAUAUUUUUCUCCUCACUUAGCUUGCAGACUCACACUAAGGGAGCAUGUUCAGUGUAGUUUGUUCUUGUUUGCCAAUCCUUGCUACCCAAGUUGGAUAUCGUUAUAUUUUUGGGCACAUUUCUUAUUCUUCUUUUGUAUUUUUUUAUCCUUAAUUUAAUACAUUUAGUAUUUUUGAUAAAGAAGUUGGAGAUCAUCCAAUAAUCCAAACUCUUGUUGAAGGAGCCUAAAAGAUUUAUGGUUCCAACAUUUUCCACCCCUAAAUUUAUUCUCUUCAAUUUGAUGAAGGACCCUUGCAUUGCAAAUUCACCAUAACAUUAGGAACUUUAUAUGGAAACUGAAAGCCAGGAUUAUGUAUAUCUUUUCAACUUUUGUGUUGAUGAGAAGGAGAGGUAGUAGUAUUUAAAAUGAUGCUCUACUAACAUGAAAUUUGAAAUUACUUAUUUUACAAUAUAGAUAAGAUAUUAGAUAUAUAUUGUGAAUUAAAGAGCAUUAUAUUUAUUUGUGGUGGUGGAUUCCUCUAAUAUAAAUUGCCAUUUCACUUAUUAAUAUUAUUAUUAAUUAAUGAUGAUUGUAAAAUUUACUUAGUUGAAUAAUUUUAUAAGAGAUUAUGGGCAAAAAAUCUCUGGAUUUUGUUAAUAAGUAGGUUAUGGGUAAUCUAAAUGUUUUAAUAAAAUUAAAAAGAUUGUUAUCUAGUGUCUUGUCAAUUAGUCUAUUAAAAAUGUAAUAGCAUUUACUCUGCUGAAUUGGAUUUGGGUAGCACCUUGAAAAGUGCAAUUUUGAAUAGAAAUGCUGAUUCACAAUAACCAUUCAAGAUUUUUUUCUUAAGCAAGAAGAGAUUAGAAGAUGAUCAUGUAGGAGUGAGUUUCAAAGUUGAAGAUUUAAAAUACACUGAAGAAGUUGGACAAAAAGAUGCGGAAGGUGGACUAAACAUUUUGAGAAAGGGUAAUGAGUUGCAGAAGAUGAUGGUUUUGGUUCUUUUGUGUCUUUUUGUACAUUAACAUAGCAAAAACCACUAGCUGAGCAAGUUGUUUUGCCACUCUUCCGUUACAGAGAGGUAUGAGGAUGAGCAUUAAAUGAUUUUGAAUUUGGAACUGGGUUAUCAAAUUUCAUAACAUUGGUCUGUUAGUCUGUCUAUCUCCCUCUUUCUCCCUCUUUUCCUUUAUCUCUGAAGCAUGCUUGUACAAAACCCACAGAAAACACCACUAGGGGGUUGUUGAGAAAACUCCACUAGCUUCGUUUUUAACACCUUUUCUUCUUUUUCUUCUUAUUCGUCUCAUUCACUCUUUGCACCUGUUCUCUUAUCUCUUAUCUCUUAUCUUCUUUGCAAUUUCAUUCCUCAGGUAUUUUUUUUUCUUUUUUGUAUUUUUCAUUGUGAUGUUUUGUGGCUUGUUGGUCUUGCAUGUAUGUUUUUUUAUUAUUGCAGACUUAUCCCAAUUUUCCUUCUUUUUUUUUUUUGAAUUUUUUAAUAUUUGUUUAGAUGCCUGUUUUAUCCAUUCAAUCUAUGUUAAUGUGUGUGUUAUUUGGACUUUUUGCUGGUUUGAGCUCUGGCAUGGCCUUUAAUACUUAAGGUGUGUAUAGAUAGAUAAUCUAAAAAAAGGUACUUGUUGCACUCUGCUUAACCAUAGAACUACUUAUUACCAUGUAUUUUUUUAUGUUUAAUCUAGUUCCUUAGUAGUAGAACCCCAUAUUACUCCAUGUUCCAAUUCAAUGUAAGUAAUUCUUGGUAAAUUUUGAUGUUUUGCUGCAUGACUAGUUGUAUUGCAAUUAAGUCUCAGAUGAACCUUCAUAAUAAACAUUUAUUUCUAAGAGGAUUUAAGCAUAGAUUAUUGUAGAUCUCCUAUGUUUUGGAUUUCAUCGUAUUCUAUUGUAAUAUUAUUUUUGUUCCGGUUUUGUUACGUUUUCUUUCAAAUUGCAAAAAAAUUAUGAGUGUCCUUUUUAUUCUUCUACAACUGUGAACCUUCAUUUCACGAUGGAUUCCCCUCCUAUUUUGUUUUCUCGACUCAUAACUCAAAUUAUUUAUGCAUUUUGUUUUGGCUCUUUGCUUGGAUCCAAACAUCUAGAAAUGUUAUUCCCAAAGAGCGAUGGUGAUUACCACUCAAGCAAAAAGGCAUCAUAAGAGUAAAUAUGUUUUUUAUACUUAGGGGCCAUUCAUUUUCAUUUUGUAUUAUGAUAAUUUUUUUUUUUUUUUUGCAUUUUUUUGUACUAUGUUUGAUGGCAGAUGUAUUUAAGUUGUUUUUUAUAUGGUAUAAUUUUUGUUUUGAGUAUUUUAAGUAAAAUGUGUAGGGCGUCAUCAUAUUAACUUGCCUUCGACUCUGGUUGAAUUGGAAUUAUUAAUCCAGCACUUCAUAGGCAACACAUUUUGUUUCAAUUACUAUAGUCGAAUUUAUAGCAAAUUUUUUGUUUCUCUUGAAGAAACGUUUAAAGUUCACACUUGUUGAUUUGUAGAUUGUGUGCAGUCAAAAGACUUGGCUGGUUCAACUGUAAGAGAUUAUCUGCAUUUUGGACCUGAUUGGUUGAAGUGGAAUUAUCAGCUUCCAAUUCUGAACAAGAAGAAUGGCUUCAACUGAUGAAAAGAUACUUUAGUUGAAAAGAGGAAGUCUCAAAAAGAAAAUCGAGAAAUUGAAAUAGCCUGAUCUUUCCUUGAAGAGGAACUCCUCCCUUAAAUAAAAAAAUAUCAAGCAAAGAAGAGUUGGAACUAUUCAGAAUGUUGGUUUAGAUGGUGGAAAGCGCUCAAAAAAAAAAAAAAAAAAAAAAAAACCUUGUAUCAAGAGUGAACAAAAUGGUUUUCAUUUUCAGUUUUAAGAACGGGUUCGGAAAGAGCUAGUUGUGACAAAGACGGAGAAGAUAUACCCUCAAGGCAAGCUAAAAAAUGCAUUGGCAGAUUCUUGUAGGAAAUAAGCACUGAUUUUAGUGUUGCAACCAUUAUGCAGCACUGAUUUUAGUGUUGCAACCAUUAUGCAGCACUGAUUUUAAUGUUGCAACCAUUAUGCAGCACUAAACAAUAUAGUAAAAAGCAUCCGAUGUGCGCUCACUAAGCACUCUAUAGUUGCUUUCAUAUGCUUUAGAUUCUCAAGAUGGGAAGUCAAUCUAGAUGUAGUUUUUUUAGCUACAAUGAGCACUUUGGUUGUCUUGGUGUGUUGUCUUUAAUUAUUGAGAGAACAAAUGGUCUUUUUUGUGGACAAGGAGAUUAUCUUGUUGUCCCUCUCUCCCUCCUUUCUUUGGGAGUGUUGCAUUUGAUUUGUUAAAUAUUAGAUGGCUUUGGCAUUAAUAUAGACUAUGGUUUUCACUUGGUUUUGAGAUGACUUAUGAUUAUUGAUGUUGCAUUUAGCAAACUUCUUAUUAAUCUGUUACUUUGUAUUUUAUAAAGUACAAAUGAUUUUUUUGCUUGUGUUCAUUUUGUUUAGGAAGUAUAUGAAACAAUUCAAGCUUCAUCACCACUAGCUGUGGAAUUGGGACUGACAAGGAACUAAAGUGAUCACUCUGUGGCACCUUCUAUUGAUGCUCUAUCAAGUAAACUCCUGGGGUUGCUGCUACAUUCAAGCCAAUAUUGAUAUGGACCCCUGAGCUCCAUGAGUGUGUUUCAUAGAGGCUAUCAACAAGCUUGAUGGGAUUGAAAAUGAGUAAAGUAUUUUUAACUCCACUUCUUUUAUUUGCCUUGCAUGGUAAUUGACAUAUUUAAGCUGAAAUAUCAUGUGGUUUGAGAUAGUUUCUAGGCUAAAAUUGAAUUUAGAAAAGGUUAAUUAGUUAAAGGGGUUAAAAUAACCCCCAUAUUUGCAAAUAUAACCCACCAGUCAAAAAACAAAAAAGUUGACCUGGUUGAGACAAAAAUGUCCUUCUGUUUUUUUCUCUCCAACACGUACAACUUCUCCUUUCUCUUUCCCCCCUCAUUUUUCUCUCCAAGACAACUUUCCCUUUCCCUUUGUUUUAUAGCAGAUUAGGUUCUAAUUUUUUUAUUCAGUCAUUUGUUGCUAUUUCUCUCUCUUUUCCUGCAGAGAACAAGUUUAACUUCUUACAAUUGUUUCAUCUGUUAUUCAUUCUUGGUCAUAGAAAUAUGAAAAAAAAUGUGAGCAACCAAUAAUUUAUUUUUUAUAUUAUCAUUUUAUUUCUUUUUGUUUCUUGAAAAUUCAAAAUCUAACUUCAACAUUGUAGGUAAAAAAUAGAGACUCCAUUGUUAAUUCUGAAAAAGUGAAAAGUUCAUUCAAAAGAAGUUGAAAAGAUUUAUCCAUGUGACAAGUUCAAAUGAUGGUAAGCUAAUUCACAAUCAUAAAUUUCACCUAAACUUAAUAAUGGUUGAGUUGCAUUAAUAAAGAACUUAAUUGUGGUUAAGUUCUUUGUUCAUUUUUUCACCUGAACUUAACAGUAGUUAAGUUGCAUUAACAAAUAACUUAACCACAAUUAAGUUCACAGUCAGAAUUUUUACCUGAACUUCAUAGUAGUUGAGUUGCAUUAACAAAUAACUUAACCACAAUUAAGUUCACAGUCAGAAUUUUCACCUGAACUUCACAGUAGUUGAGUUGCAUUAACAAAUAACUUAACCACAAUUAAGUUCAUAGUCAGAAUUUUCACCUGAACUUAACAGUGUUGAGUUGCAUUAACAAACAACUUAACUAUGGAUAAGUUCACAGUUAGAAUUUUCAUGUGAACUUAACAGUAGUUGAGUUGCAUUAACAAAAAACUUAACCACAGUUAAGUUCACAAUCAGAAUUUUCACCUAAACUUAACAAUGGUUGAGUUGCAUUAAUAAAUAACUUAAUUGAGGUUAAAUUCACACUCAGAAUAUUCACCUGAACUUAACAAUUGUUGAGUUGUAUUAACAAAUAACUUAACUAUAGUUAAGUUGACAGUUAUAGUUACAUUAUAAAAAUUGUAACUUUGAGCAUCAAGUCAAAUUCAUCCAAAAUAACAGUCAACACUCAACAACAUAUAAACCUUUUACAUAAUCAAAAUGAAACCCACUACAUGGGUAAAUUUUUGAAGUAGAACAAUUCAAUUGCCAUUUUCUCUCUAAACCAAUCAAUGCGGACAUCAGUCAGUGAGCUGAAUGGAUGAUCAUGCAUUAAACAUUCUGUAUAUUUAAUCAAGAACAUCCCACAAUCACCACUGCAUGAAACAAAAGUAAUCAAAAUUAAGAUGGCUAAAAAAAAAUUUACCGUAUAAGUCAUAAAGGUGAAAUGAUAAAAUGAAGUUUGGGUAUUUGUUUACCUACUCAUACUCUUGUUGAGGAACAUCAUGCAACCGUUCAAUGUCCCACUAUUCUUCACUUUUAGGAUCACCACUCUUCCCAUAAUAUGAUGUGGCAUGCAAAAUACGCGGUAACACUUUAGCUAAAGGUAUUAUGGCACCUUUUAGUCGAUUAUCACUAUUAAUGCCUAUCAAUGAGUCAUACACAAAUAUUCUCUUCUAAGCAAGGUGAACUACUCCCAACACCCAGUGUAUACUUCGGACAUUAAUAGGAACAUAGACGAUGUCCACCUCAAACCAUUUCAUGGAAGGAAUUGGGUGAAACCCAUUAACAUAGUCAACAAGAAUAUCAUUUGCUUGCAUUUGGAAUUGAUUCCACUUUUUAGCAUGCUUCUCCCACUUUGCUUUCACAUUUUUCUAUAUAAGAAAAGGUAAAAAAGAAUAGUUAAACUACCAUAAUUUAACUAGUAUUAUGAGGGUCAAUAGUAAAAAGAAACUAUACAUACCCAAAACAUUGUAUACGUGGUGGUAAAAUUUUGAGAAAAGGCAUGGGGCUUUUCUAUUCUCUACUUACGGAAAAAGUAGAAAACAACAUCAAUAUGCUAGACAACAUAUACAAAGAAAAACAUUAGUUAUACUAUUUCAUUAUAAUAACAAUAUGCUAAU